rnacentral:rRNA from 1 species
GACAGCAGCGCCACGGUAAUACAGAGGGUGCGAGCGUUAAUCGGAUUUACUGGGCGUAAAGCGUGCGUAGGCGGCUUCUUAAGUCGGAUGUGAAAUCCCUGAGCUUAACUUAGGAAUUGCAUUCGAUACUGGGAAGCUAGAGUAUGGGAGAGGAUGGUAGAAUUCCAGGUGUAGCGGUGAAAUGCGUAGAGAUCUGGAGGAAUACCGAUGGCGAAGGCAGCCAUCUGGCCUAAUACUGACGCUGAGGUACGAAAGCAUGGGGAGCAAACAGGAUUAGAUACCCCCGUAGUCCCUGUCUCUUAUACA